rnacentral:rRNA from 1 species
GAUGAACGCUGGCGGCGUGCCUAAUACAUGCAAGUCGAGCGAACGGACGAGAAGCUUGCUUUUCUGAUGUUAGCGGCGGACGGGUGAGUAACACGUGGAUAACCUACCUAUAAGACUGGGAUAACUUCGGGAAACCGGAGCUAAUAUCGGAUAAUAUUUUGAACCGCAUGAUUCAAAAGUGAAAGACGGUCUUGCUGUCACUUAUAGAUGGAUCCGCGCUGCAUUAGCUAGUUGGUAAGGUAACGGCUUACCAAGGCAACGAUGCAUAGCCGACCUGAGAGGGUGAUCGGCCACACUGGAACUGAGACACGGUCCAGACUCCUACGGGAGGCAGCAGUAGGGAAUCUUCCGCAAUGGGCGAAAGCCUGACGGAGCAACGCCGCGUGAGUGAUGAAGGUCUUCGGAUCGUAAAACUCUGUUAUUAGGGAAGAACAUAUGUGUAAGUAACUGUGCACAUCUUGACGGUACCUAAUCAGAAAGCCACGGCUAACUACGUG